rnacentral:rRNA from 1 species
GACAGAGGGUGCAAACGUUGUUCGGAAUUACUGGGCGUAAAGCGAGUGUAGGCGGUUUUCUAAGUCAGGUGUGAAAGCCCCGGGCUCAACCCGGGAAGUGCACUUGAAACUGGAAGGCUAGAGUAUCGGAGAGGUUGGUGGAAUUCUCGGUGUAGAGGUGAAAUUCGUAGAUAUCGAGAGGAACACCGGUGGCGAAGGCGGUCUGCUGGGGUAAUGCUGACACUGAUGCGCGACAGCGUGGGGAGCAAACAGG